CACUCCUGCGGGAGGCAGCAGUGGGGAAUUUUGGACAAUGGGGGCAACCCUGAUCCAGCAAUGCCGCGUGAGUGAAGAAGGCCUUCGGGUUGUAAAGCUCUUUUGUCAGGGAAGAAACGGUGGUGGCGAAUAACUACUACUAAUGACGGUACCUGAAGAAUAAGCACCGGCUAACUACGUGCCAGCAGCCGCGGUAAUACGUAGGGUGCAAGCGUUAAUCGGAAUUACUGGGCGUAAAGCGUGCGCAGGCGGUUGUGUAAGUCAGAUGUGAAAUCCCCGGGCUCAACCUGGGAAUUGCAUUUGAGACUGCACGGCUAGAGUGUGUCAGAGGGGGGUAGAAUUCCACGUGUAGCAGUGAAAUGCGUAGAUAUGUGGAGGAAUACCGAUGGCGAAGGCAGCCCCCUGGGAUAACACUGACGCUCAUGCACGAAAGCGUGGGGAGCAAACAGGAUUAGAAACCCCAGUAGUCCCAUG
rnacentral:rRNA from 1 species